AUGAUCUUGCUAAUGCUGAUAAUGCUAAACCCCUGUAUGCCUGAAUGUGCAGAUUCUACUGAAGUAAAGGAUGUUGUACAGAGUCAUAUGCAGACUCAGAAGAAUGAUGUCCCACAAGAGAUCAUUGAGGUGCCAGUAGAUUUGGAUUUCAUUCCUAAAUUGUUUGAUGACUUUGAAGAAAUGGAGGAAUCAGAAGCAGAUUCUCAUAAUCGAGAAAAUAAGGAGAACGCCCGGGGUAGUGAUAUCGUUCAUGAUGAGGCGAAAUAUAUUGACACUCUUGGGUCGAUUGAGGACUGCCUGACACUGUUUUCCCAUAGCCUGACGAAUUGUGACAACUGUUCCAAGGUUGCUGAGUUGCUGGAAACCAAUGCAAGUAAAAGCGUUGAACCGAUCAUGGCAAGUACCAGUGUAAACACAUCUGUUCAUGGAGACCAGACUCUUGCAGAUUCACAUCAAGAAGGCAUACUCUCUGAUGACACAACUACUGAAAAAAUCACUUCAGGGACGAGCUGUGAUGAAAAGGACUUAGCCUCUUGCAGCACAGCCAAUGAAAAAGCUGAAAGUCGUGAAGGUGUUCAAAAAGCUGCGCCUAUUUGCCUUACAACUGAUCAACAGACUGACCUGCUGAGUGCUCUGCAUAUUCAAGAUACCAGGACCCAGAAACAGGACAGUGGAAAGCAUGUACUUGAUGAUCAUAGUGCCCAAAGAGUGGAGGCAACCCAAAAUGAGCAGACAGAUGGUAAUGGUAGAAGUAUUCAAACACAAUUGAUUAGCAAGCUGCCACCUGUAUUAACCAUUCAACUGAAGAAAUACGCACCUGAUCUUUCUAAAUUGAGAGGGCAUGUGAGCUUUAAGGAGAUUCUUCACUUAGGACCAUUCAUGGACCCCAGGUAAUAACAUCUAACAAUUCUACACCGUAAUAUCUAAUACCUUUCUGUUAUGCCAGUUCUAUAAGUUCCCAAUCUUCAGAAAUACAGUAACUAUCUUGUUUCAUAGUUUGCUGCUACUAUCUUUAAGUAUAUUUUCCAUUAUGUUCUCAUUGUGACUGUUGAUUAUUGUUUACUAUGUGUAUAUUAGUUUUUGUUUAUCUUGAAUUCUUGAUCAAACAAGCAUCUCUUAGGGUGUGUGAAUGAAUGAUUGUCACACACGGUGGUAAAUUUCUGUCACAAGCAGCUAAUUUUUCCUUAGGACAUCUUCACUCUUGUCUCUCAGUAGCAGAGUAAUUGUUCUGAUUAUCUGAUGUCAGCGAACUAAACCAGUGUUAUAAUUAUCACGUAAACAUAUGCUGUUCAGAAGCUCAGUAAUUUUAGUGCCACAGAUGGUUAUACUAGGAAUAUACUUCACUAAAUGACUGCAACAGCGUAUCAGUCUAAACAGAUUCCGAAAGUGAAUAUACAUUAUGAAACGCAUUCCCCCACUGCAAGGCAUAUAAAACAGCCUUUGAACAUGACUUGCCCAUUAACUAUUCCAUUAACUGAUGAAUAACUGUUGCUUAUCCUGGAGCAAGACAAGUUCCAUGAUCAAAGGUGUAUUUUUCAUUGCGUGUGUGCUCCACCUCUUGUAAAUUCUAACAGACAACAGUUUUCCUAUUUUCGUUGAACAAAAAAAAGGAAAUAUAGUUGCAAUGUGAACGGUCCAACUGUACCGUGAAUUUGUUUGCAAAUUGUGUAUCAACUGGAUUUAAGGAUUUACUCACAGCCUCAUUUGGACCAGAACUCUGUGCCAUUGAUUGGGACUCUAGUUUUUCUGUGUAUGAUGUCAUCAUAUUUGAAUAUAUAUCAGCUGUACAGGUCGUCUGGUGUAAACUCUAUCCACUCUAGUUAUCAUAUCAUGAAACAUUAUUAUGGUAACACCUUUUGUCUGUACGUAUUUAGGUGCCUUGAAAUGCCUAAUCUGGCAACCUUUUUUUCUUAUCUUUUCAAACGUUUCUAUUUUUAAGUACUCCCUCCAUCCCCAGAUAGGUGGUGUAUAAAUUGAGUAAAAAAGUCAUUUUUUUAAGUUUGACCAAGUAUAUAUAGAAAAAUAUCAAUAGAUCCACCAUAAGAUAUAUUUUAAUUGUAUUUAUUUGUAGUUAUUGAUAUUUCAUUCUAUAUAUUUUGUCAAACUUGGAAAGUAUAGACUUUUGGACCAAAUUUAUACGCCGCCUAUUUGAGGACGGAGGGACUAUAAUUGUGUAUUAGUAUUUCAAUAUUAGAUAGAUAUAUAUAUCUUGCAGUGGGCAAUUGAAAUUACUCUGUCACUUAAUUUCUUAGUAUUUCGAUUAGGACAUAAAUAACCAGUCACUGCAGAUGUACCAUAUUGUUUAAUAUCUGAUACAGUAUUCAGUCUGUUGUUUUCAAGAAAGACAUGCCAUUGUUGCUACUCCAGUUCUGAGGACAAAGAUAACUCAAGCUAUCGUCUAGUUGGCGUCAUUGUGCACCAUGGCAACAGACGGAAUGAUGGGCACUACAUUGCUUAUGUGCGGGGCAGUGGCUCCUCCUGGUUUUGGGCAAGUGACACC